UACGUAGGUGGCAAGCGUUGUCCGGAAUCAUUGGGCGUAAAGCGCGUGUAGGCGGCCAGAAAAGUCUGCUGUGAAAACUCGAGGCUUAACCUCGAGAUGUCAUCGGAAACCAUUUGGCUAGAGUCCGGAAGAGGAAAGUGGAAUUCCUGGUGUAGCGGUGAAAUGCGCAGAUAUCAGGAAGAACACCAAUGGCGAAAGCAGCUUUCUGGGACGGUACUGACGCUGAGACGCGAAAGCGUGGGGAGCGAACAGG
rnacentral:rRNA from 1 species